CAUACUCCAUUUCACGUGCGGCGAUCUCGCAAGCGGCGCCAAACCCGACUGCGAGCGGGGUGGGGACGGUGCCGCUGCGGAUGCCGCGCUCCUGCCCGCCGCCACUCAUCUGGGGUUCAACGCGGACACGCGGGCGGCGGCGGAGGUAGAGCGCGCCGACGCCUUUUGGGCCGUAAAUUUUGUGGGCACUUAGCGACAUAAGACUGAUGUUCAUUGCUUCGACAUCGACCGGGAUCUUACCGAGGGCCUGGGCGGCAUCGGUGUGGAAGGGAACGCCGCGCUCGCGGCAGAGGCGGCCGAUUUCGGCGAGGGGCUGGACGACGCCGAUCUCGUUGUUGACGGCCAUGAUGGAGACUAGAGCGGUGUCGGGGCGGAAGGCGGCGGCGAGGCGGUCGAGAUCAAUGAGGCCAUCGGUGUUGACGGGGAGGUAGGUGAUGUCGAAGCCGUCCUGCUGGAGGUGGCGGCAGGAGUCGAGGACGCACUUGUGUUCGGUUGUGGUGGUGAUGAGGUGUCGCUUGGAGGCGCGGUGGAAGCGAGCGGCGCCUUUGAUGGAGAUGUUGUUGGACUCGGUGGCGCCGG
rnacentral:misc_RNA from 1 species